UACGAAGGGGGCUAGCGUUGUUCGGAAUUACUGGGCGUAAAGCGCGCGCAGGCGGUUCUUCAAGUCAGAGGUGAAAGCCCAGAGCUCAACUCUGGAAUGGCCUUUGAGACUAGAGAACUAGGGUACGGGAGAGGUGAGUGGAAUUCCGAGCGUAGAGGUGAAAUUCGUAGAUAUUCGGAAGAACACCAGUGGCGAAGGCGGCUCACUGGCCCGUUACCGACGCUCAGGCGCGACAGCGUGGGGAGCAAACAGG
rnacentral:rRNA from 1 species